rnacentral:misc_RNA from 1 species
GAUGAAGAACGCAGCGAAAUGCGAUAAGUAAUGUGAAUUGCAGAAUUCAGUGAAUCAUCGAAUCUUUGAACGCACAUUGCGCCCGCCAGUAUUCUGGCGGGCAUGCCUGUUCGAGCGUCAUUUCAACCAUCAAGCCCCCGGCUUGUGUUGGGGACCUGCGGCUGCCGCAGGCCCUGAAAAGCAGUGGCGGGCUCGCUGUCACACCGAGCGUAGUAGCAUACAUCUCGCUCUGGGCGUGCUGCGGGUUCCGGCCGUUAAACCACCUUCAAAACCCAAGGUUGACCUCGGAUCAGGUAGGAAGACCCGCUGAACUUAAGCAUAUCAAUAAGCGGAGGA